rnacentral:lncRNA from 1 species
UCUUCUCUUAAGCUGAAAGUCCAACGAUUUCAAGAUUCAAUUAAUUAGAGACAUGGAGAGCCAAAGAACAAGGUGGUGGUGUAAACAGGGAAGAAGAUUAGGGGUGUGUCAUGGGCCAUGUCACUCCUCAGUGCCCCUCCUCCUCUCUUUAUGACAAAGGAGUGAUAAAAGAAGUCCAGGAGACCUGAGGGUAAGUGCAAGAGAAUGUGGCCCAGGAUGGUGUGAGUAAUGGAGAAAGUGAAAUAAGGAAAUACUGGCAAAUAAGAUAAGAAAAAUAGGCACAACCAAUAGGGGCCCUGCAGCCUCUGCAUACACAGAUUGUUUGUUUUGCUUCUGACAAGGUGUUAUGAAAAAUAUGCAUUAGGUCAAUGAGAGAUAUCCC